GCCCGGGUGGCUCAGUCAGUUAAGCGCCCGACUUCAGCUCAGGUCACGAUCUCACGGUCCGUGGGUUCGAGCCCCGCAUUGGGCU
rnacentral:tRNA from 1 species